UCCGCCCCUUAUAGAAUCGAUUAUUGAUGGGAAGAUAUUAUUUAACUAUCCAAAAUAUUAUUUAAUUAUUUUCAGAAUUAUUUUCUUUCAAUGUUUAUUCAAAUAGAACUUAAACCCAUCUCAGAAUUUUUAAAUGCUUGAUGACGUCACAUUUAAAACGUGGCAACAUUGGUUUCCCCACUUUGACAGCCAAUGCUUAGUAGAGGGGUACGAAGGAUUCAGCUGUGAACGUGAGCCUUGGAUUGCCAUUGUUUCUCGAGUGUUCGGUCUGAAUCGUAGUGUGCGGGGUCAUUAGACUCAAUUAUUCACCUCUAAUUCUCAGUUCCAAAUUGAUUAAAUAUUACAAUAAAAGUAUAGUGAAGUUAUCCAGCAGCAGUGGAUUUGAAGAAUUUUAGAGCAUACUAUAUCCAAUGAGUUCUACCCCGCACCUACCAUGAAAUCUUAAAGCCACCCUACAACAACACCAAGGCCAGACCACACAGAGAGAAACAAUCAAUAGGCGACCAGCCUGGAUUAUUUCCACAUUUUCUUUUUUUGAGUACCUCCAGCUGCUUUCCAACAGUUUUGAGUACCUUCAGCUGCUUUCUACCAGUCUUCCUCUCCUGUACCUCCAGCAGGACAGCUGCUAGCGAGAGUUAGCACCCUUGGGUGCUCAUUACAUCAACUUCAAGAUUAGGAAAGAGUGGUUUGUUUGGGAACAUUUACUGUGCUCUUAUUAAAGACAGACUGGUUUUGUGAUAUUUAGUACAUUUUUUUUUAUAGUUCAAUUGCACACACAUUUUUCCUGCUUUAUAUUUUUUAUAGGUUUUUUUUUCUUUACAACAUAAUAUUUAAUUGAUAGCGUUCCCCAACACUCUGCAAUCUAUAAAGGUAUAAAUUUCUGAGCUCAGAUAUUUUCCCUGAUAAUAGUAGUCGGUACUCUUAUCUUGAUUAUUUUUAGGCUGUGUUCCACUUUUGUAUAAUUAUUUAAACUCAUUCCAUUAUUUUAGUAUAUGUUUAAUUAAAUUUUUAAAAAUUAACUUCACAUAUUAGUCAAAAUUGUAAUUAUUAACUUUAUUUAACUUGAACUUAUUAACUUUACUUAACUUUAACUUAUUAACUUUAUUUAACUUUAACUUUAAUUUAUUAAAUUCAUAUGAACUUCUGGAUUCUAAUCCCUCAGAUUAGUUUUUGGUUUCACUUGUUAUUAUUACUAUUAUAAACCACGAGUUAGGAAAAGGAUCUGUGUAUCCACUCGUAGGUUUAUUUAUUCAAUAAGGCUUGUGCCUGUCCCACUCACAGUGAGGUAUUUAUAUGUUAUAUAUAGUAUCAGGUAGUAUUUAAUUAAGGUGUACGUAUUAUAAACGUACAAUUAUUAUUUGGUGAGGGUUCUACUAACCUAGUUGUAAGUUGUACUUCCUGUAUUAGAGGUACCCGUAGUCAGUUUUUCUAACCUUAUAAAGAGUAUUCUUAGAUCAUAGUUGUAUGAUGAUUUUGUAAUUGACUUUCACUAGUAUCACUUUUUCCUGUCAUGUUAGAGUUACACACUAGUUACUUGUCCUAACUCAGAGAUUGUUAAAAAGAUCUAGUAGUUACAUUCAAUAAAUAUACAUUUAUUGUGA
rnacentral:lncRNA from 1 species